AAUGAACGUUGGCGGCGUGGAUUAGGCAUGCAAGUCGCGCGAGAAUUCCCGCAAGGGAAGGACAGCGGCGAAAGGGAGAGUAACGCGUGGAUAUCUGCCCUCAGACCCGGGAUAGCUGCGGGAAACUGCAGGUAAUACCGGAUAAUGUCUUUGGACCAAAGGUGUGAUUCCGUCUGAGGAUGAGUCCGCGUCCUAUUAGCUAGUUGGCGGGGUAAUGGCCCACCAAGGCGAUGAUGGGUACUGGGUGUGAGAGCACGACCCAGCUCACUGGGACUGAGACACUGCCCAGACACCUACGGGUGGCUGCAGUCGAGGAUCUUCGGCAAUGGGCGCAAGCCUGACCGAGCGACGCCGCGUGCGGGAUGAAGGCCU
rnacentral:rRNA from 1 species